GACGUAGGGCGCGAGCGUUGUCCGGAUGUAUUGGGCGUAAAGAGCUCGUAGGCGGCUGGUCGCGUCGACUGUGAAAACCCGCGGCUCAACCGUGUGGUCUGCAGUCGAUACGGGCAGGCUAGAGUUCGGUAGGGGAGACUGGAAUUCCUGGUGUAGCGGUGAAAUGCGCAGAUAUCAGGAGGAACACCGGUGGCGAAGGCGGGUCUCUGGGCCGAUACUGACGCUGAGGAGCGAAAGCGUGGGGAGCGAACAGG
rnacentral:rRNA from 1 species